CAGUCGCCGCGGUAAUACGGAGGGGGCUAGCGUUGUUCGGAAUUACUGGGCGUAAAGCGCACGUAGGCGGCUUUGUAAGUCAGAGGUGAAAGCCCGGAGCUCAACUCCGGAACUGCCUUUAAGACUACAGAGCUAGCAGGUGAGAGAGGUGAGUGGAAUUCCGAGUGUAGAGGUGAAACUCGUAGAUAUUCGGAAGAACACCAGUGGCGAAGGCGGCUCACUGGCUCAUACUGGACGCUGAGGUGCGAAAGCGUGGGGAGCAAACAGGAUUAGAUACCCGCGUAGUCCCUGUCUCUUAUAC
rnacentral:rRNA from 1 species